rnacentral:rRNA from 1 species
GACGUAGGGCGCGAGCGUUGUCCGGAUUUAUUGGGCGUAAAGAGCUCGUAGGCGGCUUGUCGCGUCGAAUGUGAAAUCUCAGGGCUCAACUCUGACAUUGCAUUCGAUACGGGCAGGCUAGAGUUCGGUAGGGGAGACUGGAAUUCCUGGUGUAGCGGUGAAAUGCGCAGAUAUCUGGGGGAAGGCCGGCGGCGAAGGCGCCAUUCUGGGAAAUUCCUGACACUGAGGCACGAAAGCGUGGGGAGCAAACAGG